UCCCCAUGAGGAAAUCCCGUUGCGUCUUACCAUCUGUCCCAGCGCCAGAACCUGCAAAGGUUGAACCCACUGGGGCUGGCAGAGGGAAAGGAGGAGACUCAGCUCCAGAAGGAACUGUCUGAUGGGAC